rnacentral:rRNA from 1 species
GACGAACGCUGGCGGCGUGCUUAACACAUGCAAGUCGAGCGGUAAGGCCCUUUCGGGGGUACGACGAGCGGCGAACGGGUGAGUAACACGUGGGUGACCUGCCCUCAGCUCUGGGAUAAGCCUGGGAAACCGGGUCUAAUACCGGAUAUGACUCCAUGACGCAUGUUGUGGGGUGGAAAGCCUUGUGCGGCUGAGGAUGGGCCCGCGGCCUAUCAGCUUGUUGGUGGGGUGAUGGCCUACCAAGGCGACGACGGGUAGCCGGCCUGAGAGGGCGACCGGCCACACUGGGACUGAGACACGGCCCA